UCCCGGAAACUUUUGUUCACAUCCCAGCUGU
rnacentral:piRNA from 1 species